rnacentral:rRNA from 1 species
AGGGAAUCUUCGGCAAUGGACGAAAGUCUGACCGAGCAACGCCGCGUGAGUGAAGAAGGUUUUCGGAUCGUAAAACUCUGUUGGUAGAGAAGAACGUUGGUGAGAGUGGAAAGCUCAUCAAGUGACGGUAACUACCCAGAAAGGGACGGCUAACUACGUGCCAGCAGCCGCGGUAAUACGUAGGUCCCGAGCGUUGUCCGGAUUUAUUGGGCGUAAAGCGAGCGCAGGUGGUUUAUUAAGUCUGGUGUAAAAGGCAGUGGCUCAACCAUUGUAUGCAUUGGAAACUGGUAGACUUGAGUGCAGGAGAGGAGAGUGGAAUUCCAUGUGUAGCGGUGAAAUGCGUAGAUAUAUGGAGGAACACCGGUGGCGAAAGCGGCUCUCUGGCCUGUAACUGACACUGAGGCUCGAAAGCGUGGGGAGCAAACAGGAUUAGAUACCCUGGUAGUCCACGCCGUAAACGAUGAGUGCUAGAUGUAGGGAGCUAUAAGUUCUCUGUAUCGCAGCUAACGCAAAUAAGCACUCCGCCUGG